rnacentral:rRNA from 1 species
AUUAGAUACCCCGGUAGUCCCAGCCGUAAACAAUGUGCGUUAGGUGUGUCGGUAACCACGCGUUACUGAUGCGCCGAAGAGAAAUCGUGAAACGCACCACCUGGGAAGUACGGUCGCAAGGCUGAAACUUAAAGGAAUUGGCGGGGGAGCACCACAACAGGUGGAGCCUGCGGUUUAAUUGGAUUCAACGCCGGACAUCUCACCGGAUAAGACAGCUGAAUGAUUGUCAAUCUGAAGGUUUUACAUGACUAGCUGAGAGGAGGUGCAUGGC